rnacentral:rRNA from 1 species
AUUGAACGCUGGCGGCAGGCCUAACACAUGCAAGUCGAACGGUAACAGGAAACAGCUUGCUGUUUCGCUGACGAGUGGCGGACGGGUGAGUAAUGUCUGGGAAACUGCCUGUUGGAGGGGGAUAACUACUGGAAACGGUAGCUAAUACCGCAUAACGUCGCAAGACCAAAGAGGGGGACCCUCGGGCCUCUUGCCAUCGGAUGUGCCCAGAUGGGAUUAGCUUGUUGGUGGGGUAACGGCUCACCAAGGCGACGAUCCCUAGCUGGUCUGAGAGGAUGACCAGCCACACUGGAACUGAGACACGGUCCAGACUCCUACGGGAGGCAGCAGUGGGGAAUAUUGCACAAUGGGCGCAAGCCUGAUGCAGCCAUGCCGCGUGUAUGAAGAAGGCCUUCGGGUUGUAAAGUACUUUCAGCGGGGAGGAAGGGAGUAAAGUUAAUACCUUUGCUCAUUGACGUUACCCGCAGAAGAAGCACCGGCUAACUCCGUG